GACGAACGCUGGCGGCGUGCUUAACACAUGCAAGUCGAACGGAAAGGCCCCUUUGGGGGUACUCGAGUGGCGAACGGGUGAGUAACACGUGAGUAACCUGCCCUUGACUUCGGGAUAACUUCAGGAAACUGGGGCUAAUACCGGAUAGGAAUCCUUGCUGCAUGGUGGGGGUUGGAAAGCUUCGGCGGUUUUGGAUGGACUCGCGGCUUAUCAGCUUGUUGGUGGGGUAGUGGCUUACCAAGGCUUUGACGGGUAGCCGGCCUGAGAGGGCGACUGGCCACAUUGGGACUGAGAUACGGCCCAGACUCCUACGGGAGGCAGCAGUGGGGAAUAUUGCACAAUGGGCGGAAGCCUGAUGCAGCAACGCCGCGUGCGGGAUGACGGCCUUCGGGUUGUAAACCGCUUUCAGCAGGGGCGAAGCUUGUGGUGACGGUACCUGCAGAAGAAGCACCGGCUAACUACGUG
rnacentral:rRNA from 1 species